AACAAAAACAUGUCUUUUUGAAUUAAAUUUAAAGUCUAACCUGCCCNCUGAAAUUUUUAAAUGGCCGCAGUAUUCUAACUGUGCAAAGGUAGCAUAAUCAUUAGUCUUUUAAUUGAAGGCUGGAAUGAAUGGUUGGACGAAAUAUUAACUGUUUCAUUUGAAUUUUUAUAGAAUUUUAUUUUUUAGUCAAAAAGCUAAAAUUUAUUUAAAAGACGAGAAGACCCUAUAAAUCUUUAUAUUUUGUUUAUUUUAAUUAUAAAGAUUAUUUUUGUUAUAAUAAAUUAAAAUAUUUUAUUGGGGUGAUAUUAAAAUUUAAAAAACUUUUAAUUUUUAAAACCAUUAAUAUAUGAUUAAUUGAUCCAUUUAUAAUGAUUAAAAAUUUAAGUUACUUUAGGGAUAACAGCGUAAUUUUUUUGGAGAGUUCAUAUCGAUAAAAAAGAUUGCGACCUCGAUGUUGGAUUAAGAUAUAAUUUUGGGUGUAGCCGUUCAAAUUUUAAGUCUGUUCGACUUUUAAAUUCUUACGUGAUCUGAGUUCAAACCGGA
rnacentral:rRNA from 1 species